UGUGCUUGGAGGGUUGGACUCGGGAGCCUGCAGUCAGGACUCUGGGGCCAGGCUUGAGGGGUGCUCCAGAAGCAACCCUGUAUCCUCUCCUCCGCUAUUCAUGUUCCUAAGAAACCGCUCCCAAACUGAGGGCUGAAAGGAAGGGUCCGAAGAGAAGACAGCAGACACCAUGGGAAGACCGGCCAACAUCACGUGGAUUCCAGUAAACUCCAGCUUUAGCUCGGGUCUGGCUAGCUGAAGGCCCCAGAGGGAAUUCACCAAGCCAGGUCUUCCAUGGAUGGGCCCAGGGGCUGGUGCUUUCCUGACCGGCGCCCCUGAUCAAGACAUGGGGCCGCCGCAUAGGUGUUUGUGUGACUUCACUUCAUGUCACGAGAAGCUGUGAGUGCAUGGGGCCUGAGCCGUGGCCUCUCCUCUCCUCCCUCAGUGCCUUGGCUGAAUCCACUCCUCCGAGGACCAUCCUUCCUGCCACCACAUCCUCACACUGGCAGCUUCUUUUGCUAGACGGUCCUGGCCCCUGGGUCCCAGAGUUCCACAAGAAACAAGAGGGAACAAAAGCCAGGCCUGGAGACACAACUUCUUUUAUUUUUUUUUUAAAGUUUUAUUGAAGUAAAACUGAUUUACAGUGUUGUGUUAAUUCCUCCUGUACAGCGAAGUGAUUCAGUAAUACAUGGAUAUAUUCUUUCUCAUAUUCUUUUUCAUUGUGGUGGUGUGUCAUCGGUUAUUGAAUCUAAUUCCCUGCUUUUUUCAUUUUUUAAAUUUUAUUGAUGUAUAGCUGAUUUACACUUUUGUGUUCAUAGUUCUUGGUUUGAAAUGGAGACUUUGACAAACAAAGCAGAAUAGUGCUUCUCCAUCAGGGUUAGCGUAGCCCUAGGCCUGAUGUCGGAGGGGUCCGCAGAUGCUGGGGUCCUGAAAUCUGUCUGGCAGGGAGACGCAGGGUGCUGAGAAUGGGGGCUCCCCUGGGUCCA
rnacentral:lncRNA from 1 species